CGGGGACCUGCCAGGCAGCAGCCUGGGCACCCGAGCCUUCCCUCCUUCUUCCUGCCAGCGUCCAGAUCUCUUCUGAAGCUUUGGUACCUCACCAUCCCAGAGCCUCCUCCCCAACAACCCUCUUCACUGAUCUCUGGGGCUAGUCGCCCCGGACUAGGAAACUUGGGCCCAAAUUUCCUCCUAAGAGGUCUAGAAAUCCCCGGGCUGUGUGUCAAUCCUUGGACGGUGAGAAAACUGAGGCUCAGAGCAGAGGAAUGACUGAAGCCAGGUGAUCUAUGCUGCAGAAGGGAGAUAGCGAGUCCUCCUGCUCGCCAGUCCAGGAUAAAGGCUGUGCAAACAAUGAGCGGACAGCCGGGCCAGGGGUCAUGUCUUCCCAGCGCUCUGCUUCAGUGCUGGGCUUGGGGAAACAGUCUCACGUGUAAGGAAAACAGAGAUUAUAAAGGCCAGAAUGCGACUGGAACAUAGCAAUACAUGCCUGUGAUCCCAGCACUUGAGAGGUGGAGACAGGAAAUUCGGAAGUUCAAAGCCAUCUUCAACCACACAAGUGCAAGAGCAGCCUGGGCCACGUGAGACUUCAUCAGGAAAACAAAAUGGGGCCGUUGAGAUGGCGCAUCUGGAAAAGGCUCUUGCCAGCAAUCCCAACAACCUGAGUUCAGUCCCCAGGACCCCCAUGUUGGAGGAGAGAACUGACUCCAAAUAAAAUUGGAGUCCUCCAAAUAUAAUUACUUUCAUUGCUACUUCA